rnacentral:rRNA from 1 species
AGCAGCCGCGGUAAUUCCAGCUCCAAUAGCGUAUAUUAAAGUUGCUGCAGUUAAAAAGCUCGUAGUUGAAUUUCGGGACCAAUAUGUCGGUCGUGCCUCGGUACGUACUGGCAUCGUUGGUUUCUCCCUUCUGACGAACCAUGAUGUCAUUUAUUUGGUGUCGUGGGGAAUCAGGACUGUUACUUUGAAAAAAUUAGAGUGUUUAAAGCAGGCUCACGCUUGAAUACAUUAGCAUGGAAUAAUGAAAUAGGACGUUUGAUUCUAUUUUGUUGGUUUCUAGGAUCGACGUAAUGAUUAAUAGGGAUAGUUGGGGGCAUUAGUAUUCAAUUGUCAGAGGUGAAAUUCUUGGAUUUAUUGAAGACUAACUACUGCGAAAGCAUUUGCCAAGGAUGUUUUCAUUAAUCAAGAACGAAAGUUAGGGAUCGAAGACGAUCAGAUACCGUCGUAGUCUUAACCAUAAACUAUGCCGACUAGGAUCGGAUGAUGUUAAUUUUUAAUGUACUCAUUCGGCGU